CGGGGCUCGGCGGCGGGAGCCCGGCGGGCCGGGCCGGGGCUGUAGCAGUCUCGAGUAGCGGUACCUCGCCCCAGGCCGGCCGGUACGGGUGCUACUCCGAGUCGAAUGUGGCUGCAGUGUUAAAGCUGGCUCAACAUCCUUUGUUAUACCUCUACAGAGACAGUUAUAUAGACAGCAGGAGAAAGUAUGACACAGUUCUGCAAGCAAGAAAGAAAAGGCCGGAAGUCCCAGGUCACCUUUUACCCAUAAGAAUAACAGAAGUGGAAGAAAGGUUGAAUGUAGCAGAAAUGACACAAGAAUGGAUUUCAGCAGAGAGCACUGAAGAAGAAUUACCUCUGAACAUAAUAUGCUAGCUAAAAAAAGCACAACUGAUAGCUGCCAAGACCAUUGUGGACCUAAAAUGCUAGCAGUGGUCAAAGCAAAUUAAAAUUUAUUAAGGGACCCUCAUGUAUAAUUUUACCACAGCAGGAUUAUACUACCAGCUCUGCAAAGGGAGAUUUAGUCAAGUAAUUCUCAUUAAGGGGCAAAACCCCUCUGACUUCUGCAGGUACUUUGCCUGAUUAAGCACUGAAGAACAGGCCCUAAGGUUGGCACGGCUGAGCUCUAACCUGUCUGCCUUUAUGCAAGCCACAGCUUCAUAUAUCAGCUCCAGCUCAUGCAGAGGAGUCUUACCAGGCAUUCUAAUCCUAAGGGGAAACAUUUCAUUGCAAUGCACAGUAAUUUGCAUUCUUUCACAAAAUUCUGCUAUUACAUUAUCCAUUUUUCUCUUGAUUAAAAGAGAUCAAGAAGUGCACACUCUCACACUACACAUGCAGGCUUUCCAUACAGGAGGCCUGGAAUCUACAUUCAAAUUCAGACUGGAGGAGAUCUGGCAACUUCUAGCUCUUUAUGGACUUAUGCAUUUACUCUUCAUCUUGGACUGGAAGCACACGGGA
rnacentral:lncRNA from 1 species